rnacentral:rRNA from 1 species
GCACCACCGGCGGACGGCUCAUAACACGUCGGUAACCUACCCUCGGGAGGGGGAUAACCCCGGGAAACUGGGGCUAAUUCCCCAUAGGCCUGAGGUACUGGAAGGUCCUCAGGCCGAAAGGGACUUAUGUCCGCCCGAGGAUGGGCCGGCGGCCGAUUAGGUAGUUGGUGGGGUAAUGGCCCACCAAGCCGAAGAUCGGUACGGGCUGUGAGAGCAGGAGCCCGGAGAUGGACACUGAGACACGGGUCCAGGCCCUACGGGGCGCAGCAGGCGCGAAACCUCCGCAAUGCGGGAAACCGCGACGGGGGGACCCCGAGUGCCGUGGCAACGCCACGGCUUUUCCGGAGUGUAAAAAGCUCCGGGAAUAAGGGCUGGGCAAGGCCGGUGGCAGCCGCCGCGGUAAUACCGGCGGCCCGAGUGGUGGCCGCUAUUAUUGGGCCUAAAGCGUCCGUAGCCGGGCCCGUAAGUCCCUGGCGAAAUCCCACGGCUCAACCGUGGGGCUUGCUGGGGAUACUGCGGGUCUUGGGACCGGGAGAGGCGGGGGGUACCCCUGGGGUAGGGGUGAAAUCCUAUAAUCCCAGGGGGACCGCCAGUGGCGAA